rnacentral:rRNA from 3 species
UGGCGGCUGUAGCGCGGUGGUCCCACCUGACCCCAUGCCGAACUCAGAAGUGAAACGCCGUAGCGCCGAUGGUAGUGUGGGGUCUCCCCAUGUGAGAGUAGGGAACUGCCAG